rnacentral:rRNA from 1 species
AUGAAGUUGGCUCUGGAGAAGAAGGACUCGGACCUCGCCGCCGCGCAAAAAGCAGCCCAAGAUAAAACUGCUCUCGCAGACCAGAAGCUUGCUUCAAUCGAAACGCUGGAAGGAGAGGUGAACAAACUGAAAUCUUGUCUUAAUGAAGCUAACCGCGAAGUGACUAGUCUGAAGAAGGACAAGGUCAUCCUGAAUGAAAAGUUGGAGUCUGGGAUCUGCAAGAGGGAUGACACGGAAGCUUAUCUGAGGACUCUUGUCAAGAAGCUUUAUCUCACGCUAGAAGGUAUUUCUAUUAAUCCGACUAUGUUGAUGCUUGCGAUCGGAUCUUGCUCGGUCGAUUGA